rnacentral:rRNA from 1 species
CACCCCUACGAGACGCAGCAGUGGGGAAUAUUGGGCAAUGGGCGCAAGCCUGACCCAGCAACGCCGCGUGAAGGAAGAAGGCUUUCGGGUUGUAAACUUCUUUUCUCAGGGACGAAGCAAGUGACGGUACCUGAGGAAUAAGCCACGGCUAACUACGUGCCAGCAGCCGCGGUAAUACGUAGGUGGCAAGCGUUAUCCGGAUUUACUGGGUGUAAAGGGCGUGUAGGCGGGAAAGCAAGUCAGAUGUGAAAACCACGGGCUCAACCUGUGGCCUGCAUUUGAAACUGUUUUUCUUGAGUACUGGA